rnacentral:lncRNA from 1 species
CCUUUCUCGCUUCAUCCGCGGUCCCUGUCUGUUUUCGUUAUGGCGCCUUGUACUUCUACCCAACGUUGCCCGCCCCCCAUCUUCCCAGCCCACCAGCUCCGUCCGCCUCUCCGGAUGAUUCGUGAGAUACCGAGCCUGCCGGGAAGGGACCGGAUUUUUCCGUCUGGUCCAAGGAAGCACGGGUUAUGGCCACAUGCGCAGUGAUAACUCAGGGCCCCACGCCUUUUGACCCCUGUUGAUGAAGAUUGUGAGGAGGGAGACCAGAAGAUAAUGGACAACGAUACAGCAGAAGGGUCUGGUAAGCUCCGUUUAGUUGCACUACCCGGGGAGACCUGAGGCAUGUUUCCAAGGGCUGUGGCUGCCUGUAGCCAUGGGAUCUCCAACUGCAUGCCAGAGUAAUGGAGAGACUUUGACAGCUCAGGUCAGCACAGUGCCUGCAGCUGCCACUCAUCUUUCCUAUAUAUGUAUAUCAGGCCUCAAGUUGAGCGCCCUCUACCUGUGAGGCUAUUGUUCUGUGGUAUUUACAACAAAUGUUUCUUCUGCAGGUUACACUUGAGCUUAUUUCUUGGAAGAGUCUGAGAAGACGGCCUGUCAGGCUCCUAACACUAAGGGCCAUGUAACCAGUGAAGCAGCCAUUAUAUAUGAUUUGGUCUACACUUGUUGGGUAAGCUUAAGGAUUGUUAACCCUUUUCCUAAGUAGUAUAGCAGAAAUUCAGGUUUGCAUAGUGGCUAGCCAUCUAUAAGCCACCUCCAUAAUUUAUGUCUGAACUAGUUAGCUGUUCACAUCUGGGGCAAAGAUGUGUGCCAUGUUGGCUGGUAUUUGUCAAUUGAACAUUGCAUGAGUACAGACACUGGUCCAUGAUGAAACCCAUUAUCAGUGGACAUCUAUGGAUGAGAAAUGCGGAUAUGGGACUGAGACCAGUUCUUAGGAAAGCCUGAGUUGGGGAAUGAGCCUGAAGGUGGAACUAACAUAGACUUGCACUUCCUUUUCAGAAAAAUUCCACAAGAGGAUCUCCUGGAAGCUAGCAGAAGUUUUUGGCUUGUACAUUGCCAGGCAGCCAUUGGAAUCGGAGCUGCAGUCAGAUUAAGGCCAGCCUGGCCUACAUUGAGAAACCUCAUUUUGGGAAAGUGAAAUACUUUGUCAAUUAACAUGCAGUUGGUUCAAUAAAGACUUUUGGAAAGUGUC